AUUGAACGCUGGCGGCAGGCCUAACACAUGCAAGUCGAACGGUAACAGGAAGCAGCUUGCUGCUUUGCUGACGAGUGGCGGACGGGUGAGUAAUGUCUGGUAAACUGCCCGAUGGAGGGGUAUAACUACUGGAAACGGUAUCUAAUACCGCAUAACGUCGCAAGACCAAAGAGGGGGACCUUAGGGCCUCUUGCCAUCGGAUGUGCCCAGAUGGGAUUAGCUAGUAGGUGGGGUAACGGCUCACCUAGGCGACGAUCCCUAGCUGGUCUGAGAGGAUGACAAGACACAAUGGAACUGAGAAAAGGUCCAGAAUCCUACGGGAGGCAGCAGAGGGGAAUAGUGCACAAUGGGCGCAAGCCUGAUGCAGCCAUGCCGAGUGUAUGAAGAAGGCCUUCGGGUUGUAAAGUAAUUUCAGCGGGGAGGAAGGGAGUAAAGUUAAUAACUUUGCUCAUUGACGUUAACAGCAGAAGAAGCACCGGCUAACUCCGUG
rnacentral:rRNA from 1 species